AUUGCCCUAGUAACGGCGAGUGAAGCGGCAACAGCUCAAAUUUGAAAUCUGGCCCUUGGGUCCGAGUUGUAAUUUGUAGAGGAUGCUUUUGGUGAGGUGCCUUCCGAGUUCCCUGGAACGGGACGCCAUAGAGGGUGAGAGCCCCGUCUGGUUGGACACCGAGCCUCUGUAAAGCUCCUUCGACGAGUCGAGUAGUUUGGGAAUGCUGCUCUAAAUGGGAGGUAUAUGUCUUCUAAAGCUAAAUAUUGGCCAGAGACCGAUAGCGCACAAGUAGAGUGAUCGAAAGAUGAAAAGCACUUUGAAAAGAGGGUUAAAUAGUACGUGAAAUUGUUGAAAGGGAAGCGCUUAUGACCAGACUUGAGCCCGGUUAAUCAUCCAGCCUUCUGGCUGGUGCACUUGGCCGGCUCAGGCCAGCAUCAGUUCGGCGCGGGGGAUAAAGACUUCGGGAAUGUGGCUCCUCCGGGAGUGUUAUAGCCCGCUGUGUAAUACCCUGUACUGGACUGAGGUUCGCGCAUCUGCAAGGAUGCUGGCGUAAUGGUCAUCAGCGACCCGUCUUGAAACACGGACCAAGGAGUCGUCUUCGUAUGCGAGUGUUCGGGUGUCAAACCCCUACGCGUAAUGAAAGUGAACGCAGGUGAGAGCUUCGGCGCAUCAUCGACCGAUCCUGAUGUUCUCGGACGGAUUUGAGUAAGAGCAUACGGAGCCGGACCCGAAAGAAGGUGAACUAUGCCUGUAUAGGGUGAAGCCAGAGGAAACUCUGGUGGAGGCUCGCAGCGGUUCUGACGUGCAAAUCGAUCGUCAAAUAUGGGCAUGGGGGCGAAAGACUAAU
rnacentral:rRNA from 1 species